rnacentral:rRNA from 1 species
GGAUAGACAUGCAAGUCGAACGAGAAACUUUCUUAGCUUGCUUUGGAGUUUCUAGUGGCGAACGGGUGAGUAACACGUGAGUUACCUGCCCCAAAGUCUGGGACAGCCUUCCGAAAGGGAGAUUAAUACCGGAUGUGAUGGCAACAUUAAAGGUGGAGCAAUCUGCCGCUUUGGGAUGGGCUCGCGGCCUAUCAGCUUGUUGGUGAGGUAAAGGCUCACCAAGGCGAUGACGGGUAGCUGGUCUGAGAGGACGACCAGUCACACUGGAACUGAGACACGGUCCAGACACCUACGGGUGGCAGCAGUCGAGAAUCAUUCGCAAUGGGCGAAAGCCUGACGGUGCGACGCCGCGUGGAGGACGAAGGCCCUAGGGUCGUAAACUCCUGUCAUCAGGGAGUAAGGUGUUUACCAGUAACUGGGUAGGCAAUUGAUAGUACCUGAAGAGGAAGGGACGGCUAACUUCGUGCCAGCAGCCGCGGUAAUACGAAGGUCCCGAGCGUUGUUCGGAUUUACUGGGCGUAAAGAGUCUGUAGGCUGUAAAGUAAGUCAGGUGUGAAAUCCCGGGGCUCAACCCCGGGACUGCACCCGAUACUGCUUUACUGGAGUAUUGGAGGGGAAUCUGGAAUUCUCGGUGUAGCAGUGAAAUGCGUAGAUAUCGAGAGGAACACUAGUGGCGAAGGCGAGAUUCUGGACAAUUACUGACGCUGAGAGACGAAGGCCAGGGUAGCGAAAAGGAUUAG